GGGACCCGUCUUGAAACACGGACCAAGGAGUCUAGCAUGUGCGCAAGUCAUUGGGACUCUAACGAAACCUAAAGGCGUAAUGAAAGUGAAGGUUCGCCUAGCGCGAACCGAGGGAGGAUGGACUGUCUAUCGUGGCCGUCCCGCACUCCCUGGGCGUCUCGUUCUCAUCGCGAGAAGAGGCGCACCAAGAGCGUACACGCUGGGACCCGAAAGAUGGUGAACUAUGCCUGGUCAGGACGAAGUCAGGGGAAACCCUGAUGGAGGUCCGUAGCGAUUCUGACGUGCAAAUCGAUCGUCGGAACUGGGUAUAGGGGCGAAAGACUAAUCGAACCAUCUAGUAGCUGGUUCCCUCCGAAGUUUCCCUCAGGAUAGCUGGCGCUCGCUUCUCGCGAGUCUCAUUCGGUAAAGCGAAUGAUUAGAGGCAUUGGGGUCGAAACGGCCUCAACCUAUUCUCAAACUUUAAAUGGGUGAGAUCUCCGGCUUGCUUGAACUGUGAAGCCGCGAGAUAUCGGAUCAGAGUGCCAAGUGGGCCACUUUUGGUAAGCAGAACUGGCGCUGUGGGAUGAACCAAACGCCGAGUUAAAGCGCCUAAAUCGACGCUUAUGGGAUACCAUGAAAGGCGUUGGUAACUUAAGACAGCAGGACGGUGGCCAUGGAAGUCGGAA
rnacentral:rRNA from 1 species